rnacentral:rRNA from 1 species
CAUCCUCCAAGGCUAAAUACUCCUGACUGACCGAUAGUGAACCAGUACCGUGAGGGAAAGGCGAAAAGAACCCCGGCGAGGGGAGUGAAAAAGAACCUGAAACCGUGUACGUACAAGCAGUGGGAGCCCCACCACUAAGCCAGUGGUGAACUCCACAUCCGCAUCCUUUGCUGAGGAUACGGUUAACGGAGCGAAAGCGACGUUCAACCGCAAAACAAGCAGAGGGGGCUUAGUGGUGGGGUGACUGCGUACCUUUUGUAUAAUGGGUCAGCGACUUAUAUUCUGUAGCAAGGUUAACCG